GUUUGACUUCUUCUCUUUCAUUUUGGAUGCCUUGUAUUUUUUCUUCUUGGCUGAUUGCUCUGGCCAGGACUUCCAAUACUAUGUUGAAUAGGCGUGGUGAGAGGAAAGCAUCCUUGUCUUGUGCUGGUUUUCAAGGGGAAUGAAUUAAGUAUGAUGUUGGCUGUGAGAUUUUCACAGAUGACUUAUUAUUUUGAAGUAUGUUUCCUCAAUACCUAGCUUAUUGAGAAUUUUUUACGUGAAGGGGUGUUGAAUUUCACUGAAAGCAGUUUCUUCAUUUAUUGAGAUAAUCACAUGGUUUUUGUCUUUAUUUCUGUUUAUGUGAUGAAUCACAUUUAUUGAUUUGCAUAUAUUAAACCAACCUUGCAUUUUAAUGAUAAAGCCUGCUUGAUUUUGAUGGAUUCACUUUUUGAUGUGCUGCUAGAUUUUGUUUUCUAGUAUUUUAUUGAGGAUUCUUGAAUUAAUGUUAUCAAAAGUAUUGGCCUAAAGUUGUCUUUUUUUUGAGUUUUCUUUUUCUGAAGUUUUUGUUUGUUCAUUUGUUUGUUUGUUUGUUUGUUUUUCUCUGCCAGCUUUUGGUAUCAGGAUGAUGCUGGCCUCAUAGGAUGAGUUAGGGAGGAGUCCCUUCUCUUCUGCUUUUCGGAGUCAUUUUAGUAGGAAUAGUACCAAAUCUUUAUUGAACAUCUUUCAGAACUCAGCUCUGAAUCCAUCUGGUCCUGGGCUUUUUUUUUUUUUUUUUUUUUUUUUUUGGUUGGUAGGCUAUUUAUUACUGAUUCAAUUUCAGAGUUCAUUGUCAGUUUGUUUGGAGAAUCAAUUUUUUCCUGGUUUAUUCUUGGGAGGGUGUUUGUGUCCAACAAUUUAUCUCUUCUAGGGUUUUUAAUUCAUGUGCAUAGAGGUGUUCAUAGUAAUUACUUAUGUUUAUUUUUAUUUCCGCAGGGUAAGAGGUAACAUCCUCUGUCAUUUCUAAUUGUGUUUAUUCGGAUGUUGUCUCUUUUUUUAUUAGUCUAGCUUGUGGCCUAUUUAUUUUAUUAAUUUGUUUCAAAAAACCAACUCCUGAAUUUGUUUAUGUUUUGAUUGGUUUUUUAUGUCUUGAUUUCUUUCAGUUAAACUCUGAUUUUGAGUAUUUCUUGUCUUUGGCUAGCUUUGGUGUUGGUUUGCUAUUCUACCUCUAAUUCUAUCUCUUGUAAUGUUAGGUUGUUAAUUUAUGAUCUUUCUUACUUUCUGAGGUGGGCAUUUUGUGACAUUAACUUCCCUCUUAACACUGUCUUAGCUGUGUUUUAGAGAUUAUAGUAUGUUGUAGCUUUGUUCUCAUUAGUUUCAAAUAACUUCUUGAUUUCUGCCUUAAUUUCAUAUUUUUUCUGAAAGUCAUUCUGGAGCCAUUGUUUAAUUACUAUGUAAUUACAUGGUUUUGAGCAAUCAUCUGGGUCUUAACUUUUAUUUUUUCUAUUUUACUGUGGUCCAAGAGUGUGUUUCGUAUGAUUUUCAUUCUUUUGCAUUUACUUAGGAUGGUUUUAUGUCCAAUUUUGUGGUCGAUUUUAGAGUAUGUGCCAUGUGUUCAUGAGGAAAAUGUAUAUUUUGUUGUUUUGGGUUGAGGAUUACUGUAGAGGUCUAUCAGAUACAUUUGGUUCAAUGUUGAGUUCACAUACUAAAUAUCUUUGUUCAUUUUCUGCCUUUAUUAUCUGUCUAAUACUGUCAGUGGAGUGUUGAAGUCUCCCACUAUUAUUGUGUGGGAGUAUAAGUCUCUUUGUAUGUCUCUAAGAAUUAAUUUUGUCAAUCUGGGUGCUUCCACGUUGCGUGCAUAUAUAUUAUGUAAUGUCCCUUUUAGUAUUUUUUUUAUUUUGUUGGUUGAAAGUGUUUUGACUGAAGUUAGAAUUGCAACCCCUGCAUUUUUCUGAUUUCCAUUUGCUUGGUAUAUUUUUCUCCAUCCCUUUUUGUUUGAGGCUAUGGAUAUU
rnacentral:lncRNA from 1 species